rnacentral:rRNA from 1 species
UACAGAGGCCACGAGCGUUAGGCGGAAUCACUGGGCUUAAAGCGUGUGUAGGUGGAUGACUAAGUACCUUGUGAAAUCCCACGGCUCAACCGUGGAACUGCUUGGUAUACUGGUUGUCUUGAGGCACUCAGGGGCGAGCGGAACAGAUGGUGGAGCGGUGAAAUGCGUAGAUAUCAUCUGGAACGCCAAUGGUGAAGACAGCUCGCUGGGGGUGUACUGACACUGAGACACGAAAGCCAGGGGAGCGAACGGG